rnacentral:rRNA from 1 species
UACGUAGGGUGCAAGCGUUUAUCCGGAAUUAUUGGGCGUAAAGAGCUCGUAGGCGGUUUGUCGCGUCUGCUGUGAAAACCCGAGGCUCAACCUCGGGCCUGCUUCCGAUACGGGCAGACUAGAGGUAGGCAGGGGAGAGCGGAAUUCCUGGUGUAGCGGUGGAAUGCGCAGAUAUCAGGAGGAACACCGGUGGCGAAGGCGGGAUCCUGGGCCGAUACUGACGCUGAGGAGCGAAAGCGUGGGGAGCGAACAGG